rnacentral:lncRNA from 1 species
CAUGGUAGCAGGACGUGGGUGUACUUGUGCAAGAGACUGCAGCGGGGUUUUGCUGUGUAGUGUCUUUUGAUCACAGUUUUCCCUCGGUGGUGCGCUGCCGUGUGGUGCUGUGCAAGAGACUGCAGCGAGGCUUCGCUGUGUAGUGCCUUUUGGUCACAGUUUUCCCUUAGUGGUGACGUCACUGUCCACAUUAACCUUGCUGCUUGCCAUGGGCUCUUUGCCGCUGCUGCUUGGAGCUUGUUCCAAUGCGUCACCUUUACCUUGUGGGGUUGUGCAAAAGACUGCAGCAAGUUUAUGUUGUGUAGUGCCCUUUUGGUCACAACUUUCCUCGGUAGGGGACGUUGCCGUGCACAUUGA